AUCAACCACAGAAAAGUAGUAGCUUUACUUGCUAAAUGCAUAACCAAUUCAAAGAUCCAUUCAAUCUAUACAGGUAUUCCAGCCAAGGGAAUUGAAUGUGCCAAGGACUUGGGCAAAGAUGGCAGAAGUUAGCAGACUACAGUGGAAGUCAGAACAAACGUCAUUGAAACAACCAAGGACAGAAUUUAAGGCAAGAGAAUCGAGGAGGUCAAAACUAAACAGAAGAAAAACUUAUUGAUGCAUUUUAAGAGGACAAAAGUUGUGUUUAAGUGCAGACAACGCUGAAGGACUUUAAAAUAGAUUUUCAGUAGACACAAAGAAAGAACCUAUGCAGAAAGUAUGGUUCAGGCCGAAUGCCACAAGAAAAAGAAGGAAACGCCACAAAAGACGGAAAGCACAACGCAUACUGAAGGCUGAAGUAAAAUAUCUUUAUUGUGUGACUGUUUAUUUCCCUUAAGUACUGCCCUAGUUUAAGAAUGGACUCAUUCUUAGCUGAUGUGUAAGCAGUAAAAGCAUAGAUUUCCUGUAGAACAGCUUAUGAAUGUAGUAGGUAUGUUGGCUAUCUACUAGACUCAAAAGUGUAAAGUCGGAGGACGUUAAUCUGAUCUUUCCCUUGUUGCAGGUGUUCUUCCUCCUCUCAUUCAUUAGGGCUGAAAAAUGAAACCUAAUUGGAAAAUGUUUCAUGUCAGAGGGACACUACCAUUGUGGAUCCGUGGCCAUAAUAUUUUGUUCAGCGUGUACUAGUAACCCCCUGCAUGGCAUAAAAGAGGCACGACUAGACAUGUGCAUUUAUGCAUUAGAAUAUUACAAAGAUGUAAGAUAUAACCAAGUUAGGAGUCUUGUGACUAAACAUUUUUCCAAAGUGUCAUAAUUACAAUUAUGAAUUUUUAAAAUGUAAGGUUACAGAUCGGGUGCCACAUGUAUUUAAAACACGCUGAGUUCCAAGCACGUGAGUAAUGAAAUUACAAGGAAAGCACUUCACUUGUUAUACUAUCUACUUAAAUGUUACGAAAUAUCCACUUUCUGAAUUCUGCUACAAAAUCAUUAAAUGACUAGUUAAAGAAAUAAUGAAAGGUAAUUCAAAUUUUGUAAUUGGAAAGACAAUUAACUGUUUGCUAUAAAUGUGAUUGCAAAUGAAAUAGAAAUGUAAAGAUUGAAAGAGAACACCCAAGGUACCAUCUCAUAAUAAAAUAAUGAUGAAACUAAAUACA